AAGUCAAACCCAAACACAGAGACAACGCGAAGACCACGAAGCAAGUGGAUAGUGGAGUAGGCAAAAGUGAAAGAGAAAAUAGAGAGAACGCGAAACGUAACGCAACAAGGCAAUAAACAGUGAGUAAAGCAACCGCUGAAACGACGUGCGACGCGUCGAAAUAAAAGUGUGUAUUAAAAAACCUCAAUAGCACCCACAUUACGACGAGAAAACUCAAACGACAAAACCAUAGUUGAAUUGAGUGAGAAUAAUAUAUAUAUAUAUAUAGAGAGAGAGAGAGUAAAUACACCGCUACAAUGUCGGAAGAAGUAGAUCGCAACGAUCCCGAGCUGAAAUACCUUUCGGUGGAACGGAACCAAUACAAUGAUCCGGCCACACAGGCGGAAUGGACACAGAAGCGCCUGGUCUGGGUGCCCCACGAGAAUCAACAGAGACUAAAUUUUUGCCUGGGAUGACAAACAUUUUCUCAAUUCUAUAAUAUCCUUUCCUAGGGUAUGCAUUGUUGCUUGCAUUUUUCCGCAACAUGGAACGCGAUUAUUGCUUUCCGCCAAUGAAAAUUAUGGCAGGAAACGGCUGCGACAGAAUGUCAGGAUGCGUCGUGUUAAUAUUCCCCAAUAAUUGGUAAUAUUCACCCUAAGUCGAUGUCCAAAUAUAGUAAUUUAAGAACAUAAUUUAAAAGUAUGGAAUGGGACUCAUUGUUGUCAACCGGUUAUUACCGAUUCAAAUAAAUACUGAAAUAUACGGUAUUAUUUUCAAAAUAUACCGACGUAUUUUUGAUAUUCUGGCGAAUAUUACUAGCUAAAUAGAACCCUCAGGCCUGCCCACAUAAUUUUAUC